rnacentral:lncRNA from 1 species
GAGCUAAAUCCCCAGCCCCUUAUUUACUUUUUUUUUGGUACUGAGGAAAGAACUCAGGACCUUGCGCUUACCAGGCAAGCACUUGAGGUGCUGAGUUGAAUCCCUGACCCUCUCCCUUUAUUUUUUAAAUAUUUAUUUAUUUUAAAAUUUGAGACAUGACCUAGGUUAUCCAUGCAGGCCUCAACUUGGCCAUCCUCCUGUCUCAGUCUCUUCUGUAACUGGGAUUACAGGUGUGUGCCCUUUGUCUGGCCGGGGUCUCCUUUUAUGUUGCAGCUGCCACUUGAGGUAUUUCUGCUCCAGGCCAAACUUGAGGUGGCUGUUCUGGGUAAAGUCCGAGGCCUGGAACGGUUUCCUAAAGUGGACCCUAUAUUGGUGGAGCUCGUGGCUGAGUCACCAGGUAGGCAGUAUAGGAUGGUGGUGGCGAACCUGUGCCAUGGAUGCUGCAGCAGGCUGUUAUCACUGGAAGCUCUGAGAGGUUCGCCAGCACUGGUUUAGGAUUACCCAUGCAUGUCACUCUGCCCCUUCUCAGGGCUGAGAGUGGCCCCCUCUAAAUAUAGCCCAGUGGGCUGAGCUCAGCUUUAUUUUAAGCCCACGUUGGGAGGUGGCCAGGCCUUCCCAGGCUCCCAGAGGAGCCACUGCUGCCUUUGUUCACUCCUGCUACAGGACACCCUCAUCGUCCCCGACUGUCUACCACUUGCUAUGCCUGAGGAGACCCAAGAAGACACUGUGACACCAACACAGAGCCAGAAAACCAGGGGGCUCCUGGCUCCUAGCCAUGUGCCCGAGGUGCAGCUACACCGAGUGGAAUCCAUCAGCGACCUACACGGUGAAGGCUUGACACACCCGUAUCUGGCUGAGGAGGCCCGGCCAUGGGAUGAGUUGCUGGGUGUCUUGCCACCGUCACUGUGUGCCCAGGCUGGCUGUAGUACAGCAUUUGGUCGUGGCGGGUUCCUGCUGCUGCUGGUACUGCUAGUGCUCACCUGCCUGGCACUUGCCAUCCUGGCUGUCUACUUGAGCGGUAGGGACAGGCAAGGCAGGUGGGGACCACAGGGACUGGGAGGCUCUCUGGAAGAUGCUGCAGCGGUGAAGGGCAGGGGUCAGUGGGCAGCUGCUGCUGGGCUAUGGAGGUCUGAGGCAGCAUGUAAUCUAACAAGGUCCCACAAACACCUGCCCAUCCGCAGUACUGCAGAGUGA